rnacentral:tRNA from 1 species
GGUUAUAUAGCUCAGUGGUAGAGCACUUGCCUAGCAUGUUUGAGUUCUUGGGAUCAAUCCCCAGUGCUGCCU